UGGGGAAUAUUGCACAAUGGGCGCAAGCCUGAUGCAGCGACGCCGCGUGGGGGAUGACGGCCUUCGGGUUGUAAAACCUCUUUCAGCAGGGACGAAGCGAAAAGUGACGGUACCUGCAGAAGAAGCACCGGCCAACUACGUGCCAGCAGCCGCGGUAAUACGUAGGGUGCGAGCGUUGUCCGGAAUUACUGGGCGUAAAGAGCUCGUAGGUGGUUUGUCGCGUUGUUCGUGAAAACCGGGGGGCUUAACCCUCGGCGUGCGGGCGAUACGGGCAGACUAGAGUACUGCAGGGGAGACUGGAAUUCCUGGUGUAGCGGUGGAAUGCGCAGAUAUCAGGAGGAACACCGGUGGCGAAGGCGGGUCUCUGGGCAGUAACUGACGCUGAGGAGCGAAAGCGUGGGGAGCGAACAGGAUUAGAUACCCUGGUAGUCCACGCCGUAAACGGUGGGUACUAGGUGUGGGGUUUCCUUCCUUGGGAUCCGUGCCGUAGCUAACGCAUUAAGUACCCCGCCUGGGGAGUACGGCCGCAAGGCUAAAACUCAAAGGAAUUGAC
rnacentral:rRNA from 1 species